rnacentral:tRNA from 1 species
UCUGCGGGUGCGGGAGGAGGCACCGGUCCGCCCUCGGGCGCCGGUUCGGGCACCGGUUCGGGCACCGGCUCGCCGAA